rnacentral:rRNA from 1 species
GACGAACGCUGGCGGCGUGCUUAACACAUGCAAGUCGAACGGAAAGGCCCGCAUCAUUUUUUUGGUGGGGGUGCUCGAGUGGCGAACGGGUGAGUAACACGUGGGUGAUCUGCCCUGUACUUCGGGAUAAGCUUGGGAAACUGGGUCUAAUACCGGAUAGGACCAUGGUUUAGUGUCUCAUGGUGGAAAGAUUAUUGUUUUGGUGCAGGAUGAGCUCGCGGCCUAUCAGCUUGUUGGUGGGGUAAUGGCCUACCAAGGCGUCGACGGGUAGCCGGCCUGAGAGGGUGGACGGCCACAUUGGGACUGAGAUACGGUCCAGACUCCUACGGGAGGCAGCAGUGGGGAAUAUUGCACAAUGGGCGCAAGCCUGAUGCAGCGACGCCGCGUGGGGGAUGACGGCCUUCGGGUUGUAAACUCCUUUCGUUAGGGACGAAGCCGCACCUUUUUUUGGGUGUGGUGACGGUACCUUUGUUAAGAAGCACCGGCUAACUACGUGCCAGCAGCCGCGGUAAUACGUAGGGUGCGAGCGUUGUCCGGAAUUACUGGGCGUAAAGAGCUCGUAGGUGGUUUGUUGCGUCGUCUGUGAAUUCCGGGGCUUAACUUCGGGGUGGCAGGCGAUACGGGCAUAACUAGAGUGCUGUAGGGGAGACUGGAAUUCCUGGUGUAGCGGUGGAAUGCGCAGAUAUCAGGAGGAACACCGAUGGCGAAGGCAGGUCUCUGGGCAGUAACUGACGCUGAGGAGCGAAAGCAUGGGGAGCGAACAGGAUUAGAUACCCUGGUAGUCCAUGCUGUAAACGGUGGGCGUUAGGUGUGGGGACCGGUUUGGUUUCUGUGCCGUAGCUAACGCAUUAAGCGCCCCGCCUGGGGAGUACGGCCGCAAGGCUAAAACUCAAAGGAAUUGACGGGGGCCCGCACAAGCGGCGGAGCAUGUGGAUUAAUUCGAUGCAACGCGAAGAACCUUACCUGGGUUUGACAUGCACCAGACGGUUGUAGAGAUACGUACCUCCCUUUGUGGUUGGUGUGCAGGUGGUGCAUGGUUGUCGUCAGCUCGUGUCGUGAGAUGUUGGGUUAAGUCCCGCAACGAGCGCAACCCUUGUCUUAUGUUGCCAGCACUUUGGGUGGGGACUCAUGAGAGACUGCCGGGGUUAACUCGGAGGAAGGUGGGGAUGACGUCAAAUCAUCAUGCCCUUUAUGCCCAGGGCUUCACACAUGCUACAAUGGUUAGUACAACGCGCUGCGAGCCUGUGAGGGUGAGCGAAUCGCUGAAAGCUAAUCUCAGUUCGGAUUGGGGUCUGCAACUCGACCCCAUGAAGUCGGAGUCGCUAGUAAUCGCAGAUCAGCAAUGCUGCGGUGAAUACGUUCCCGGGCCU